rnacentral:rRNA from 1 species
UACGUAGGGUCCGAGCGUUGUCCGGAAUUACUGGGCGUAAAGAGCUCGUAGGUGGCUUGUCGCGUUGUCCGUGAAAACUCACAGCUCAACUGUGGGCGUGCGGGCGAUACGGGCAGACUGGAGUACUGCAGGGGAGACUGGAAUUCCUGGUGUAGCGGUGGAAUGCGCAGAUAUCAGGAGGAACACCGGUGGCGAAGGCGGGUCUCUGGGCAGUAACUGACGCUGAGGAGCGAAAGCGUGGGGAGCGAACAGG